UAUCAUAGCGGAGGAAAAGAAACUAACAAGGAUUCCCCUAGUAACGGCGAGUGAAGCGGGAAGAGCUCAAAUUUGUAAUCUGGCACUUUCAGCGUCCGAGUUGUAAUCUCGAGAAGUAUUUUCCGCGCCGGACUGCAUACAAGUCUGUUGGAAUACAGCGUCAUAGUGGUGAGAACCCCGUAACUGAUGCAGAUGCCCGGUGCUUUGUGAUAUACUUUCGAAGAGUCGAGUUGUUUGGGAAUGCAGCUCAAAUUGGGUGGUAAAUUCCAUCUAAAGCUAAAUAUUGGAGCAAGACCGAUAGCGAACAAGUACCGUGAGGGAAAGAUGAAAAGCACUUUGGAAAGAGAGUUAACAGUACGUGAAAUUGUUGGAAGGGAAACGCUUGAAGUCAGACUUGCUAUUCGGAGUUCAGCCGCAAGGUGUAUUCUUCGAUUUGCAGGCCAGCAUCAGUUUUCGGGGGUGGAAAAUCGUGGUUUGAAGGUAGCAACUUCGGUUGUGUUAUAGCUUUCCACUGGAUUCAUCUUUGGGGACUGAGGAACGCAGUACGCUUUUUGCAAGGCCCUCGGGCU
rnacentral:rRNA from 1 species